AACCUCUCAGGAUCACACCUGGAGAGUUUCCAGUCCUCUACCAGACUCGCCUACAGAAGGGAGGGACAGGCAGAGGCAUAUCCAUUCCAUUCCUAGCUUGGCCAGUGGCUAGCGAAUGGAAGGCCAUCUGCUACAAGC